GCAUUACUGACGUAAUCCAUAUACUAAAACUUGGAACGAUACAGAGAAGAUUAGCAUGGCCUCUGCGCAAGGAUGACGCGCAAAUUCGUGAAGCGUUCCAUAUUUUU
rnacentral:snRNA from 1 species